rnacentral:rRNA from 1 species
GAUUAGUAGCGAACGGGAGAGUAACACAUGACUAAUAUGCCCCCCCCUGAGGGAUAACCCCUGGAAACCGGGUCUAAUACCGGGUAAGACUGUCUUUGGCAUGUCAUGGUGGGGAAAAGGUUGCGCCGCCUGGGAUAGGCUCGCGGCUAAUCAUCUCCAAGGUCAGGUAAUGGGUUCCCACGGCGGAGGGGGAUAGCCCACAUGGGAGGGGGGCCGGCCACACGGGUCCUGCGACAGGCCCCAGUAUCGUAUGGGAGGCAACAGACGGGAGUAUUACGCAAUAAAACGGCGAAAGCCAGAGACAAAGACGCCGGGUGAGGGAAGAUGGCUUUCGGGUUGUAAACAUCUUUCAGUGGGGAGGAAGGGAAAGUGACGGUACCUGCAGAAGAAGCCCCGGCUAACUACGUGCCAGCAGCCGCGGUAAUACGUAGGGUGCAAGCGUUGUCCGGAAUUAUUGGGCGUAAAGAGCUCGUAGGCGGUUUGUCAAGUCUGAUGUGAAAGCCCGGGGCUCAACCCCGGACCUGCAGUGGAUACGGGCAGACUUGAGUGCAGUAGGGGAGACUGGAAUUCCUGGUGUAGCGGUGAAAUGCGCAGAUAUCAGGAGGAACACCGAUGGCGAAGGCAGCUCUCUGGGCUGUUACUGAC